rnacentral:sRNA from 1 species
GGCUCAGGCUCCGGCUGCGGCUCCAGCCCGCGAUGCCCCAUUCCGUGACCCUGCGCGGGCCUUCGCCCUGGGGCUUCCGCCUGGUGGGCGGCCGGGACUUCAGCGCGCCCCUCACCAUCUCACGGGACGGCAGCCCAACAACCAGCAGGCGGCCCUCAGGCACCGGGACUGGGCCAGAAGAUGGCAGACCAAGCCUGGGAUCUCCAUAUGGACAACCCCCUCGCUUUCCAGUCCCUCACAAUGGCAGCAGCGAGGCCACCCUGCCAGCCCAGAUGAGCACCCUGCAUGUGUCUCCACCCCCCAGGUAGCACAGAGAUGCCUUCGGUGCCAUGCCCAGAACCCAUCUUAACCCUUGAUCCCUCAAAUCUCACCCAGUCCCACUCUGACCCCUGACACUUGAUCCUUGGGUCUUAGCUGGUUGCAUUCUGACUCAUAAGCCUUACCAGACCCCGAGUCCACAGGGUGAAGGCUGGAACUGCAUCCCUUCCUCCUCUAUUUCUUUCUCUCUCCCAGCGCUGACCCAGCCAGAGGCCUCCCGCGGAGCCGGGACUGCAGAGUCGACCUGGGCUCCGAGGUGUACAGGAUGCUGCGGGAGCCGGCCGAGCCCGUGGCCGCGGAGCCCAAGCAGUCAGGCUCCUUCCGCUACUUGCAGGGCAUGCUAGAGGCCGGCGAGGGCGGUAAGACGCCUGCCACCUGUCCCCAUCUGCCUUCCCACUCCCUGCAGUGCCCAGGUUGCCCCCUAGCGACCCCACGUCCCGCCUCGCAGUCACCUGCCCUCUUCGGUCUCUGCGGCCCGGUCCCACGCCCUUGCUACAACCUUGCUACGCCCUGGCUUCCUGAUUCCCGCUCCACCCCCUGUCGCUGCGCCUCACCCCACGCCCGCCAAACCCGUUCCCCAGUCUCGGGUGCCGAUGGCCAGUCUGGCGCCCAACCAAACACCCCACAGAAAUGGAGUUCUGACCUCCUCACCCCGUUCAUGCCACCUACGCUCCGGGUUUCAGGGGAUUGGCCCGGGCCUGGCGGCCCUCGGAACCUCAAGCCCACGGCCAGCAAGCUGGGCGCUCCGCUGAGCGGCCUGCAGGGG